AAGGAUAGGGGGAUGGGAGAGAGGAAGGAGCUUUCCGCUUUUCCUGCUCACUGUCUCACCUCCCUCCCUCCCUCCCUUCCUCCCUUGCUGCCGCAUCAGCACCUACAGCUCCUGGGCUUCCCAGAAGCCUAAGCAUCCACCAUGCUGGAUAUUUUCAUUCUGAUGUUCUUCGCUAUUAUAGGCCUGGUUAUCCUGUCCUACAUCAUCUAUCUGCUGUAGCAUCCUAGGAGCCCUCUUGGUGGGGAGGAGGGCUUUGUGGAGGAGAAGGAUGGAGCCUAGAGGCCGAGCAACCUGCCUGCCCACUUCCAAGUGGACUUGUGCUUCUGAUCAUCAGAUCAUCGCUUCGGCUCCUGGUCCCCCACUUCAACAAGAGACUUCUUAUCUUCAGCAGCAGCCACAGAUUAACUGCCCUAGCAGGACCUCUCCCAGAGCCUUCUGGAGACUGUUAACCCUUGGCAAGCAAAUGGCAUUUUGAAAUGGAAGCCAGAGGCAGGCUGAGAAGCAGCUGCAUCUCAGCAUGUCCAGCAGAAUUCAUGGAUGUUGCUGGCAGGCUAUGCAGGCCACGAUGAGUUCAAGUGGCAGAAGAAAAGCCGUGAGAAGAGAGCUGGAAUGUGAAAUCAUCAAAGUCCCCACGAAGGGCUGCUAAAAAAUAAGAUUUGAGACAGCCUUUUUUGCUGGUUCUGUGUGCAAGUAAAUCUUACUGGAUGUGUCCUUUCCCCCUUUUCCUUCUCAUGAGGGCUUCCACAUGCAAGGCUUUCCCAUCCAUAUAAAUUCAAGGACAACUUGUAUGUCUCCAUAUAUGGACUAAAUACAUUAUGGCAAGGGAAUAGGAUCCAUUUUUCACUCCAUCGUUAAAACUUUGUGAACUCGUUUUUAGAACUCGUCUCCAAUUCUGCUCUCUUUAGGCUGCAGAAAUUUAUGCUUUCAGCUGUUAAUGCUGCUUUAUCUUUCUUUCCCCUCUGACUGCCCCAGGUCCUCCUUAUAUGGAGAGAAAUUGUGGUAUGUAAAUCCUCGUUCUUUAUGCCAGAUGAAUUGAGGAAUUGGAAUUGUAAAUCACAAAUAAGAUGGCCACAUUCUGCAUCUUUAGCCCAGAGGAGAGGGCUUUGUUGUGAAAUCUCUGUAUAUAUUGUACCCAAAAUAUGAAUAUUAUAGAGAUAGAGAUUGUAGAGAUAGUUGAACCUUCCACCAAAAAGGCGUUUUUUGUGUCUUUGUAUUAUCAACUACCACCAUCUGAAUCCUCUAUUCAAAUAGGGUUGAAGAAAAGCAUCGUCCCAGUGCAGGGUGCAGGUUAGCCUCAGAAUUUAAAAGCCAAGGGGGCAGCUACGUGGUGAAGUGAGUAGAGCACCGGUCUUGGAGUCAGGAGGAUCUGAGUUCAAAUCCAGCCUCAGACACUUGUAGUUGUGUGACCUUGGACAAGUCACUUAGCCCCAAUUGCUUUCUCUCCUCCAAAAAAAAAACAAAGAAUUUAAAAGCUGAGGCUGGGAUGUCUGAGCCUGUUAGUGUUGGUUUAACAUUGGCAAUACCCUUUCCAUGUCCUAUAAUCUAUUUUAAAAAUGAAAAAUUAGCAAUUUUUAUUAUGGACUCAACACAAAUUGAAAUAUUUGUGCUGUGUUUUCAAAUAAUGAGGAUUGAGGAGAUUUUUUUUUUUAGUUAUGUUGGAAAUGAAAAGCUUAUAUUCUUUAAGCUCACAUUGGAAGGAGAAUCAGGUCAGGAUUCUAUACAUGGAGUUGUGUUCCAGGCCCAAUUUGUCCACUUAUUAGUUUUGUGAUCUUGAGCAAGUCAAGUCCCUUCCCUGGACCUCAGUUCUCUCAUUUGUCGAAUGAUGAAGGUGGAAAAGGUUGUCUCCAAGGUGCCUCUCAGCUUUAAAAUUCUAUGACUCGAUAUUUAUAAAGACAGGGUCUUUGGAACAAACCCUUUAAGAAUUAAGCAAUAAUUUCUUUUCUUUCCACAAAUCAGGUUUUGUAAUGAAAACCAUAAACAUAAACAUAUUGUAAAACAUAAACUAUUGUAUCAUAAAAAGCCACAUACAGAGGAGAAAAUGAUGGAGUUUACCACUUGGGACUUUAAUGUUUUAUUGUAUGAUGAUAUUUGGCAAUGACAAUUUGAAAGAUGUGUAAAUGCCAAGAGGAGAAUUUUGAAAAAAAAAUUUUCUUUAAAUGCUGGAAUAUUUGAGGAUAUCAGCAGAAUUCUUAGUGCAUUUUUCCUAUUUAUUAAAUAGUCUUUUGUAGUAAAGUUCUAUGGUAUAUGUCUCUGUGGCAUAUGUAUAAGUUCUAGCCUGAAAUUAGACUAUGCUAGUUUCUGGAUAAUUCAGACAAAAUUGGCAAUUUGGGGAGACCUAAUGAUGUAGUUAAUGUAGCUCUUCCCAGAAAAAAGUUCAUUUAUAACUCGUACACCCUUCUUAAAAAAAACUUUUUUAUUUUUAUGAACUUGACAAACAUGAAGAAACAUGAUCAUUUCCAUAUACAAAGGACAGAAAAAGAGGGUUCUAUAAGAAACUAUGCAUCUAUUAUGUAUAGCUUGUUUCUUUUUAAAGUAUAUAAUAAAUUUAAUACUGUAGUUCCAAAACUUCUCUCUGUCUCUCUGAACUUCUUUUUGCUCACUUCUGUAUAUCUUACAAAUGUUUCAUUAACACACUCUUUAUUUCCUUUUCUUCUUUUUUUUCUGGGCAUUGCUAUCACUAGCCUUCUCUUCCGUACAUACCUCUCCUCGCAGGGCAGAAAGGCUGCCCUUGUAACAAAUAAAUACAAAUGAAAGAAACCUACACAUUGGCCAUGUCUGAAAAAUGUGUCUUAUUGUGCACCUCUUUGCCAGCAGGUGAGAAGUAUGAUUUACCAUCAGUCUUCUGGAGUUAUGAUUAGUUGCUGCAUUGAUCAGAUUUCUUAUGUCUUUUACAACUGCACUUUUUUUAAUAAUGUUGUAGACAUUGUGUAAAUUGUUCUGCUUUUUCUCACUUCACUCUGUAUUCUUCCCAGGUUUUUCUGAAUCCCUCUUUUUCAUCGUUCUUACAAUGCAAUAAAUAUUCCAUUCUGUUCAUCUAUCA